rnacentral:rRNA from 1 species
ACCAGCGGAGGGAUCAUUACCGAGUUUACAACUCCCAAACCCAAUGUGAACGUUACCAAACUGUUGCCUCGGCGGGAUCUCUGCCCCGGGUGCGUCGCAGCCCCGGACCAAGGCGCCCGCCGGAGGACCAACCUAAAACUCUUAUUGUAUACCCCCUCGCGGGUUUUUUUAUAAUCUGAGCCUUCUCGGCGCCUCUCGUAGGCGUUUCGAAAAUGAAUCAAAACUUUCAACAACGGAUCUCUUGGUUCUGGCAUCGAUGAAGAACGCAGCGAAAUGCGAUAAGUAAUGUGAAUUGCAGAAUUCAGUGAAUCAUCGAAUCUUUGAACGCACAUUGCGCCCGCCAGUAUUCUGGCGGGCAUGCCUGUCCGAGCGUCAUUUCAACCCUCGAACCCCUCCGGGGGGUCGGCGUUGGGGAUCGGCCCUGCCUUGGCGGUGGCCGUCUCCGAAAUACAGUGGCGGUCUCGCCGCAGCCUCUCCUGCGCAGUAGUUUGCACACUCGCAUCGGGAGCGCGGCGCGUCCACAGCCGUUAAACACCCAACUUCUGAAAUGUGACCUCGGAU